ACAGCAGUCGCCGCGGGAAAACGGAGGGUGCAAGCGUUAAUCGGAAUUACUGGGCGUAAAGCGCACGCAGGCGGUCUGACAAGUCAGAUGUGAAAUCCCCGGGCUCAACCUGGGAACUGCCUUUGUGACUGCAAGGCUAGAGUACGGCAGAGGGGGAUGGAAUUCCGCGUGUAGCAGUGAAAUGCGUAGAUAUGCGGAGGAACACCGAUGGCGAAGGCAAUCCCCUGGGCCUGUACUGACGCUCAUGCACGAAAGCGUGGGGAGCAAACAGGAUUAGAUACCCGCGUAGUCCCUGUCUCUUAUAC
rnacentral:rRNA from 1 species